GAUGAACGCUGGCUGUGUGCCUAAUACAUGCAUGUCGAGCGAAGCACUUUUGUGCUUAGCGGCGAAUGGGUGAGUAACACGUACUUAACCUACCCUCAAGAUUGGGACAACACUUGGAAACGAGUGCUAAUACCAAAUACGUAUUUUUAUCGCAUGAUAGAUAUAUAAAAGGAGCUUCGGCUUCACUAGAGGAUGGAAGUGCGCUACAUUAGUUAGUUGGUAGGGUAAUGGCCUACCAAGACUAUGAUGUAUAGCGGGGCCGAGAGGCUGAUCCGCCACACUGGGACUGAGAUACGGCCCAGACUCCUACGGGAGGCAGCAGUAGGGAAUUUUCCACAAUGAACGAAAGUUUGAUGGAGCGACACAGCGUGCAGGAUGAAGGUCUUCGGAUUGUAAACUGCUGUUAUAAGAGAAGAAAAACCCUGGUAGGUAAUGACCAGGACUUGACGGUACCUUAUCAGAAAGCGACGGCUAACUAUGUGCCAGCAGCCGCGGUAAUACAUAGGUCGCAAGCGUUAUCCGGAAUUAUUGGGCGUAAAGAGUUCGUAGGUGGUUUUGUAAGUCUGAAGUUAAAUACCGGGGCUCAACCCCGGCCCGCUUUGGAUACUGCAAAACUAGAGUAAUAGAGAGGUUAGUGGAACUCCAAGUGAAGCGGUGGAAUGCGUAGAUAUUUGGAAGAACACCAAUGGCGAAGGCAACUAACUGGAUAUUAACUGACACUGAGGAACGAAAGCGUGGGUAGCAAACAGG
rnacentral:rRNA from 1 species